GAUACCGAUUAUUGGGGGACCAUUAAAGCCGAUACCGAUACCGAUUAUUGGGGGACCAUUAAAGCCGAUUACCGAUACCGAUUAUUGGGGGACCAUUAAAGCCGAUACCGAUUAUUGGGGGACCAUUAAAGCCGAUACCGAUACCGAUUAUUGGGGGACCAUUAAAGCCGAUACCGAUACCGAUUAUUGGGGGACCAUUAAAGCCGAUACCGAUACCGAUUAUUGGGGGACCAUUAAAGCCGAUUACCGAUACCGAUUAUUGGGGGACCAUUAAAGCCGAUACCGAUUAUUGGGGGACCAUUAAAGCCGAUACCGAUACCGAUUAUUGGGGGACCAUUAAAGCCGAUACCGAUAAAUUGGCCGAUUUUUUAUAUUUUUUUAUUUGUAAUAAUGACAACAAUUACAACAAUACUGAAUGAACACUUAUUUUAACUUAAUAUAAUACAUCAAUAAAAUCAAUUUAGCCUCAAGUAAAUAAUGAAACAUGUUCAAUUUGGUUUAAAUAAUGCAAAAACAAAGUGUUGGAGAAGAAAGUAAAAGUGCAAUAUGUUCCAUGUAAAAUAUGUGCCAUGUAAGAAAGCUACGGUUUCAGUUCCUUGCUCAGAACAUGAGAACAUAUUAAAGCUGGUGGUUCCUUUUAGCACGAGUCUUCAAUAUUCCCAAGUAAGAAGUUUUAGGUUGUCGUUAUUAUUGUAAUUAUAGGACUAUUUUCCUUUGAAUAUUGGAUGUUCUUAUAGGCACUUUAAUAUUGCCAGUGUAACAGUAUAGCUUCCGUCCCUCUCCUCGCUCCUCCCUGGGCUUGAACCAGCAACACAACGACAAUUAGCGCGCGCUAAUUAGCUAGCCAUUUCACUUCGGUUACACCAGCCUCAUCUCGGGAGUUGAUAGGCUUGAAGUCAUAAACAGCGCAAUGCUUGACGCACAACGAAGAGCUGCUGGUAAAACGCACGAAAUUGCUGUUUGAAUGAAUGUUUGAGCGCCUGCUUCUGCCUACCACCGCUCAGUCAGAUACUUGUAUGCUCAGUCAGAUUAUAUGCAAUGCAGGACAAGCUAGAUAAUAUCUAGUAAUAUCAUCAACCAUGUGUAGUUAACUAGUGAUUAUGAUUGAUUGUUUUUUAUAAGAAGUUUAAUGCUAGCUAGCAAUUUACCUUGGCUUACUGCAUUCGCGUAACUCCUUGUGGAGUGCAACGAGAGAGAGGCAGGUCGUUAUUGCGUUGGACUAGUUAAGGUUGCAAGAUUGGCUCCCCUGAGCCGACAAGGUGAAAAUCUGUCGUUCUGCCCCUGAACAAGGCUGUUCCUAGGCCGUCAUUGAAAAUAAGAAUGUGUUCUUAACUGACUUGCCUAGUUAAAUAAAGAUUAAAUAAAGGUGUAAAAAAAUAUUAUAAUAAUAAUAAUCCGCGCCCAAAAAUACCGAUUUCCGAUUGUUAUGAAAACUUGAAAAUCGGCCCAAAUUAAAAUCGGCCAUUCCGUUUAGUCGGUCGACCUCUAUUUUAAACCAUUAUAUUAAUCUGACAAUCCACAGCCAUCGUAUUAUUGUGUGCAUGUAACCACGCUCAGUGUGUUGACGAGGCUAAUUGGUAGUCGCCACUUGCAGUGAACACUGAUCUGAUCGGCCUCUACUCUACAGGGCCGUUUCCACUUACACUGACAUGACACACACCCACAAAAACAUACGUACAACUAUUGUUGAUUAAAGCAGCCGAUGCCAAAUUGGUGCCAUUUAACCCACAAGGCCAGAAACAUCAGCCACAGAAAAAGGAACUCAGGGUAAUCAGACAGGAAACGGUGUAUUUUUGUAUAUAUCUGAGUGAGAAAGAGAGGAAAUGUACAAAAGUAAAAAUAAAUAUUGACAGACAGAGACGUAGCCUUCACCCUGGCAGGCAGGCAGGCACUCAGGACCUCAGCCUAACUCUGAGUAAAGAGAAAGAGAUGAGACGAACAGGGCAGGGCACCAGUCUGCGUUCCUCAGGAGACCUUCACUAACGUACAGGAACAUCACAAAUAUGCGCGCAAGAA
rnacentral:lncRNA from 13 species